AGGUCCGCAGCGCCUGGGGAGGAAACGCGUGGAUAAGUAGUAGAACAGCAAGUAUGGUGUUAGAGUAAAGAUGAUUUACUGACUGAUUUAUGAUUUUGUUAUUAUGAUGUUACGUCACUCACAAGGUGAUUUAUUGUUUGUUACUUAUUGUCAUUAUGAAGCAUAUAUGGGUUCAAUGUUUGAAUCCUGUGAGAAACAGGAACAUGUUAUGCUUUGCUGGAGUUGCAUACUGCACACAGACAGAAACAGGGAGUGGUUGGGGCUGCUGACUUAUAUUGAGUAAGCUGGAAAAGCCAGAAAAAGCUUGCACCAAGCAGAGCUCGCCGGAGACCGAGUUGAAGUUGUUCCUGGGUGAAGCCCUUACGACGCUAAGACCUCAGGGCUCCCCUUGCAAGUAAAACGAAGUUGUAGCUUGUUGUGCUUUGUUGUCCUCGUCUCUCAGCGUAUGAAAAGUGUUGUGGCUACUUUAGACCCAACAUUACUGGGUCUUCCCUCCAUCGGCGUCGAUGACAAGAUCCCAGAGACGAGCAACACAGCAAGUAAAAGAGUAAAAGCGUAUUCUAGGACACGCAUCGCAGUCUGGGAUGCACAUUAAGGACAGUUAGAGUUGGCUGAGAUCGGGUGAGGCCAAGUCUUGUGACUUGCCAAAAGCCCACCGGACUCACUGUUAAUGGAAAACCUGUUCUUGUGUCUGGGACACAUUUAGAGAAGGUUGUCUGGGGCCUAAUAAAACCAGAAAUAGUUUGUUGUCUGAGACUUAAUAGGUCCGGAGAGAACAGUAGAUCGACUGGGACCUGAUAAAUCCAGUGGAAAGGAAAACCGGUUGUUGGAGUGAAAGUGUGUGAUUGUAAGUGUGAAAGUCACCAAUUGACGUACAAGCGGCAGCACUGGAGGAAACCCAACGGUGUUAACACAAUCCAGUAGUCUGUUGAAGUACACAGUGUGGUGAAUUAAGGAUGAAGUUCAAUAAUGAGAAAAAAUAACAGCCUGCCCUGGAAGGCGAUGAGAAAUACAUGUAAACGAACGCAGUUACAGUAUUAAUAGCUAUGAAAUGUAGAGAGCAGGCGGAAAAGAGGAAGAGACAUAUUCAGAAUAAGCAAAACGAGAAUCGAGAACAAGCUUGACUGCAGGCAACUCCCUACCAACAACAAUUACAGUAAAACAAGCUUUGAUGGCUGGCUCCCUCCCCCAACUAUCUGACUUUAUCAGAAAACACAAUGUAAAUCACCAAACUGAUGGAGUUCAGCAGACCACGAAUUACAAGAAAUGUACAAGAAAUUAUUAAAGGAAAGAAAAAGAAGGUAACAGCAGCAUUUGGCCUUUUUGGAACAAAUGAGGGGGUGAGAGCUAUGACAACAGUCGACACUUGCAUUCCUCACUCACACACCAGUUAAACCAGUUACAACCAGAUGAACAAUUGUGGGACUAGCUGAUCCUAGUAAUGCUUUUUUCUCCAUCCCAAUAGUGGAAGACUCACAGGAAUGGUUUGGUUUCACCUAUCAGAAGGAAAAACACACUUAUCACAACAGGGGGUUUGUGAUAGCCCAACAAUCUUCUCACAAAAGAUAAACAACUGUUUAGCAGAUUUUGAUAUGCCUCAACACAGUCAUGUUCUGGUAUAUGCAGCUCUAUUUGCUCUAUUUGAAAACCUUCACAGAACAGGGAACAAGGGCCCAUUGUCAAAGUUACCAAGAGCAAAACAACAAGUAACAUUUUUAGGACAUGACUUGAAACCUGAAGGAAGGCUAUUAACAACAGACAGGAAGAAAUCCAUCCUAGAUGCGACGAAACCAACAGUUUACACAGAGAGCCAGUAUGCUUUCUCAACACUCAGGUAUGAGCACUUCUACAGGAGAAGUGUCAAGUCAGUAGAACAUGCAGCAUUGUCCACAGCACUUCUAGAAGUCGUACUGCUACCACGAACCCUAGCAGUCUGCAAAUGCGCAGCACAUACAAAGAGUAAAAACACAAUUUCCAGAGGCAAUUCCAAUAAUUCCAGAGGUUAAUUUCAGAGGUGUUCUGUCGCCACAGGAUUCAGCCAUUAAGCUCAUGGCAGUGAUCUGCGCAGUUAUUGUGUUCAUCUUCUUUGUUUUCUAUGAGGGAAUCCUAUCAAUGGAACGUCACGAUGGACGGCACAGAAACCGGACCAGGGGAUGGUCACUGGACACUGGUUAAGGACUGGAUCUGGAAAGACCUUGAAGCUGAGCAAUCGCACCCAUUUAAGACCAACAUGUGCGUAUGAAAAGUGUUGUGGCUGCUUUAGACCCGACGGAUGGAAACCAGCGCUGCGUGAUGAGGAACCAGAGUGGAGCUUUACCUUUAGAAGCAGCAGAGUCAGGAGGACGGCAGCGCACUGAGAAGACCUCUGCACCCGAAGGGCCGCGCUGUGGAAGCUGAUGAAGCCGUCUGGCCGGGACUGAAGCUGAAGAGUCGGACAAUGAUCUCACUCGAUGUUUGGAGAGAGUAUUCGUCUUAGUCUGGGUUAAAACCGGUGUCGUUUUCUACCUCGGAAACGCACGAAGCGGCGAGCGACAGGAAGGACAGAUGCAGAACAGCUGUUGCCAGUGACAACAGCGCCAGGAGCAGCUGGAGCCAGUGUUUGCACUGACGCAGGUACUGAGCGCGCUCAGUAGCCAGAGACCACAUCUCUGCGAAGAAGAUGAGCAGAGCAGCUACCAGGAGAAGAACCUGCAAUAAAACAUUAAAAGAGCUGUUUAGAAUUGAA